AGAUAUUCUAUGUUUUUUUUUUUAAAUAAAAAGGAAGAUUUAGGGUUAAGACACAUGGUAUGAGGCACUGAGGCAAACAUGUAAGAGUGUCUGUAGCUGGGCAUAAGAUAACCAAUCUAGACAGAAUUGGAAAGACACGGCUCUGGGCAAGUGAUGGCAGGCUGGAUGGCAUCUAAAGCCCUUGAGGAAUCUAUGCAAUGCCUAUUGUCUUUAUAUUUAUCCUUGCUUGUAAUGCAGCUAAUUGUGACAGGCUAAAUUGUAAGGUAAGUGAUGGUGCCUUAUAAUAUGACACCCCCACUUGCUUCAGGAAAGGGACUCCAGACCAUCUUGUAGGCAAGGAGUUAACUAAGAACAAAUGAAGAUACAUCUUGGUAUCUACGAGAACAAAGAGCUUAGAAUGUAUAUUAAGUAACACUGGAGACUCUGCGAAGGUCAGAGGAUAGUUAACACUGGCUAAGUGGCCAACAGCUAGCAGACAGUCAAGGUCAAUAACUGGCAAGACCCCUGUCAAAGAUGGACAAAUGAUAUAUUAGUUAUCCUUAACUGGGUGGGCAGUGCAGGACCAGUAGAUGAUCACCUCCCUAGUUGAGCCACAGGGACAGGCACAGAAUGUUUGUGUCCUCCAUUGCCUCAGUCCAUGAUAGCUCAGAGAAUUUACUAAUUUAAUAGUAGAGGUUAUUUCAGCUUUUGUCAGGUUUCUAUCAUGACCCUAUAGAAACCUGACAAAAGAGUUUGGUAGCUGUUUCCUUUCUUGGUAACUCCUCCAUUUCUAAGGUGUUGAGUUUGGAUGGUCUGCAGUCCCUUUCUCAGGAACAAACCAUGGCCUAGAUGUGGCCCCAUGACUGCAGGCAUGAGGUAAAGCCUAGGAGGAAUGUCUACCAAGCAAAACAAGGCUACAAGAGCAGAGAAAUUCAAAAGAAAGAACUCAUAUUGGAGGCUGGUCAAAGAUGUCUGCAGGGAAGAAUAUAAAGAAUUCUGACAAGGGGGUCAAAGAUACUGUUUGGUCAAGUUCUGCUUGCAGUACUAUCUCUAGUAGCUAGCUAAACAAUAUGUAAAAAUGGUGCACUGUUGAAGUGAGCCCAGAGUCUUGUGUCUCUGUCUACCAUUCCCCUCCUUUCUACUCCCUCUGAUGCCCAUGGCUGUACUAGCUAUGGCACUAAGGAGUUUCUUUCACUUAAUUUCUCACUUUUCCUCAAUGUCUCAUGUUUUUGUAAUUAUUAAAAAUGUGUGCUUUUGUUUUAUAUACUCCCAUGGGUGUACAUAUUUAAUUUUCAUUGGUUUAAGACAACACAGUACACUGUCCCAGGUCAGUCAUCAAUGACCAUGAGUGUUCACAUCUUAGGUCCUUGUGAUUCAGACAACUGAGAUAUUAAUGGUCCCAUUAUACUAAAAACUAUUCAAUGACUCUAUGAGCUGCUAAGAAAAUUGUGUAUCCUAUAAGAUUGAAUACUAUGUGUAUAGCCAUUAAAUCCACUUGAUCAAUGGUGUACUUUAACUUAACUUUUUUCUUUGUAUUUUUGGUUUUGGAUGAUCUUUCUAACUCUCAAGUGGAGUAGUGAAGUCAUCCACUAUUAGUGUAUCAGGACCUAUCUGGCUUUCUAUGCCUACUAGUGUUUGUUUUAUGAAAUUGUAGGUUCCAACAUUCAGUACAUACAAAUAUGUUUAUAAAUGGUAGAUCAUCUCAAAAUAAUUAUUUCAUUUAUUAGUAUGAAAUAGACCUCUUUAUCACUUGUAAUCUUGCUUUGAAGCCCACUUUAUCAGAUAUAAUAAUAGAUAUGUCAGCUAAUUAGCUUGAUUCAUUGCCAUUUUUUAUUCAUUUGACCCUCUGCCUAUGGAUGUCUUUGUCAGUGAGAUACAUUUCUUGAAGUUAGCAGAUAAUUGGGCAUUGCUCUUUAUUAUAUUUUACAUAUUUUUAUUGAUUCUUAGGGAAUUUCACAUCAUAAACCCCUCUUUGGAGGGAGGAGUUUCAGAUAUGCACCCUUCUUUAAGGCUGUCAACUUCGUGGGGAGGGGGUUUUGGGACUCAGGAGACCAUGUACUGCAGCUGUGGGCUGCGUAGUAGGAGAUUUUCAGAAACAGAACUGCUUGGAACACAUGGAUCGGACAGAUCAACCUCCACACCAGGCUUCUGAAGGUCUUCACACACAUCCAACUCCAAGGUUGAGUCACUGACUUUGUACUCACAUCCUGACUCUUCCUUGUCGCUGGCAGCAGCCAGGCCGUCUCGUGGUUCAGCACGGCGGCCAGACCCUGCAGCUUACAGUGGAAACUCUGGAUCGGGUUCAUGCUGAGGGAAGUGGAGCCAAAGGCAGACCUUCACGCCCACCAAGAGAUCUUUACUUUUCUGUCACUGUGAAGAGACAACAUGACUAAAUCAUCUUACAAAGAAAGUAAAUGCAGCCUAUACCCCUCGUGAAGAAAACCCCCCUUUGCAACAGAAAACCAUGACCGAUCAAAAUGCAGAGAACAAACGAUGAUGAGGAACCCAGUCCCAGAUGAUACUUCUACAACACUACAGCUCCUGCACCUAUGACUAAGGGAUCACUGUAAGAUUGUAAAAUCCAGAAGAAGUAGUUGUCUGUGAGACUAUGUCUCCUGGAAAUAUCACUGCCUAAGCAAGUCCUGAACAGUGACAGCAGCAACAGACAUGCUAACAUGGAAAUAAGGGGAGUUCAUGGGGUCUCAACCCUAGACAACGAACUAUAAGCAACAGGAGAAUGCUGAGAAUGUGAGAAAUAUAUCUUCUACAAUGGAGAGACCCACAACUAGCUCUCUAAUACCAAGUGAUCAGCCCUGAGUUCAUAUAUACACAGAUUGGGAAUCUCAGAGAGGCUGAAUGGUACAUCCAACUGUGACAAAAUACCUGCACGGUCACUAUGUUCCGAAGAUACCUCUGAGAAUGUGUGAAGAGAGAGCCUGCAUUUUGAGGAGAUAUCCUUGAACUUUGCCAACUGCUCUGACUUCAUGGUGCCCUGCCUCAGAGAAGGUGCCACAAAAAAUUUUACACUAGAAGUCUAGAUAAAAUAUCUUUGGAUUUUCUGUGCGUACCCCUCCAGAUUAGAUACUACUGCCAACGGGUUAAUUGACACAAAGAUCCCUCCCAUGAGGUGUGAGAGUCGGCGAUAGAAAUCCCAUCUGUUUCUGGAAGCAUUUUAUGGAUUUGGCAAUAUGAUGUGUUGGCUUGACAAUUGCUGAAAAAUCCCUUUUAGCAUGAUACAGGUAUAAUUUUUAAUAGUAUCCAGAUUUCUUUUCCUCACCAUCUGAUUUUAAAUUAGAAACCAGUCCAACCCUAUGUCUCAGAUACAAAAUUUGUUCUGAAUGUAAGUAAGUACUUCAUAGCAUCUCCUGACCAAAAGGAUGUGCCUUGUAGUUGCUAGUGGAGAAACAGAAUGGUAUAUGAAUUGGAAUAGUACACCGAAAUUGUUCUUUAAUGUUUCUUUUUAAAUUAUUAUUUUCUUUGUACGGGUGUUUGAGCUGCAUGCAUAUUUGUGCACACAUGUGUAGAAUGCCCAUGGAAGCAAUCACAGGUAUUACAUCCUUUGGAUCUGGAGUUACAGCUGGUUAUGUGCCACCAUGAGGGUGCUGGGAAUCAAACCUGCAUCCUCUACAAGGGCAACAAGUACUCUUAACCACUGAACCAUCUAUCUAGCAACUCCUCCCAUAGUACUUCUUAAGUACAAUUCCUCAGUUUCAAGGAUUAUCUAAAGAACACCUUCAGUGUAUCCUAGGAUAUGAGACAAGUUCACUAGACUUGUGUGAACAGUAUAUACAUGUGUUAGUUUUUAUGUCACUCACAAAUACCUAAGAUGAAGGAAGGAUUUCUUUUAGUCCAUGCAUGUUUCAGUCUCUGCUUCUCUGGCUCUAUUGCGUUAGGCUGUGGCGAGAUAGAGUCAUGUCCAAGAGCACAUUGACAAACACAGCAGCUCUCCUCAGGGCCACCAGGGACAAAGAGAGAGGGUCUAGGAAAUGAAAGACCCUUCAUGGGCAUGCCUGUGGUGACUUACUUCCUCCAUGUAUGCCCCGCCUCCUAAUGUUUCCAUAAUCUCCCAAAAUAGCACUGCCAGCUGGGACAAAACAUUCAACACAUGAGCAUGUGGGGGACAUUUUAUAUUCAAACCACAACAGAAUUCACAUACCGUGAUUAACUUUUCUACAGGUAAAUCCAGGUUUUAGAAACAGAAGAAGCAAAGACAAAUCUUACUGGUGAAAACCAGGAUGUCAGCCUGAGGGAGGUAGGAAGUUAGAAAAAGAAAUGACUCCAUGUGGUGACAUCAUUAUGGAAGGCAAGGGCCUGCUGACCUUUCCCUCUGGCUCUCUAGUUCUUAUGUGGGAAUUUCUUCAGGUCUGUCUACACAAGGUAAGAUUUUAGACCAUAAACCUUAGUUCUGAUGACUUCCUUAAGAUCUGUUUCUAAUCUAACUUUCCUUUAGCUCCAUAUACCAAGAAGUUUUGUUCCUUUGGCCCAUACUAACUACCUGCUGCACUUACCCAAGUUGACCCAUACUUUCACUUGCAGGAGAAGAAAGAUAGAACAACAGCAUCAUGUGUCAGUUUUCAUUCUUAUCUGACAUAAACCAAUAGCAAUGUUGUGCUGGAGAUCAAGUGCCUGUUCUGUGAGGAUGUGGCAUUAAAGUCUGCACAUAUUCUGUCAGCAGGAGGCCAGAUGUCUUAGGCUACCCUCCACACUUCCAGAGGUGGUGUUAUGGUUCAUGCUUUAGGUCUCAAGAUAGCAUGAGUUCUGUCUCCAGAACAGGAUGAUGAUCUCAUGAACCUUAGGUCGACCUGUAGGCCAGGUGAGCAAACCUGUAGUGUCUAUUUACUUGAAGAAUGUUGAUUCUUCCUUCCUCUUCCAAUGGAGAAGUCCCAUUGAACAGUGGUCCCAUUGUGCUCAUCAUCCUUCCUUCUGACCUUUUUGAAUUCCUCCCUUUCUGGUAGGUAGUGAUUUGAUCAUUCAACUUCCAGAAUUCCAUAUUGCUAUACUUACCUGAUUGAGAAGAGAAAACCAGUGUUAACUCUGUUAAGACUACUGGAAUUGUGGCAGAGUCAACAUCUCACAUGGUAACCUGCUUUUGUGUUUGCCUGAUAUGUUGGGAUAAAGUCUAUUCCAUUAGCUGUCCUUUUGAAUUUUCCCAGAUUGCUAAGAGUCAGAUAAAAAAGCUCCCUGUCCACCUAUGUUUCCAUUUAGACAACUUUCCCCUGGCUCUGUUCCCCAUCAACUCCUUCAUAUCUCUCAUUAACCAUCUCUCAUCUUCAUGUACUUUAAAUUUUUCUUUUAUUCCCUACUUUCUAGUUCUUCAAAAUGGUAGCUUGAUUUCAGACUGCUUCUCUUUGAGGUGAUAUUUGGGUAAAUGCCUUCACCCUAAAGUCUCAGAGCCAUGUUACUGUAACUGUGGCUUUGGCUUAACUUGCAUCUUUAGGCACAGUGUUCUUUCGAUAGCUAACUAGCAAGAAAAGUGUUGACAGUCCUAUGGCAGCUUCCUAACUCCAGGUCACAGUAAUAAUCUGUGCCCAGGCACUGAUUUUAUGUGAUAAGUUGCAUCUGGUUCAAAUAUUGAACUUAUGGGUGGUUGUAGGGGGAAAUACUGGCCAAUCCUGCUUGGGGGCUGGCACAGCUGAUGCUAACCACACACACUUGGGUGUGGUUAGAGUGGCAUAGCAAGGCUUUAAAUAUGAGGGUCACACACAUGUGGCUCUCUCUGUUACCUCUCCCAACUGGUUGUACAGGACUGGCUCCAUGGAGUGAGUACUUCCUAAUAAACAAUGUUUUUCAAACUAGCUCUGACUCCGUUGUGAUCCACAUUAAUUGCGUUUCUGAAUAGGUGGUAGGUGUUGCUACAUAUUUAUGUCCCAGUAAACUGGCAGACACACACUGUCAAUUGACCAGCUUUUGAAUGAAUAAACACACCCCAAGAACACUUCUUAUGCACAUAUGGAUCCUUGAAUCUUCAUUAUAUUUAAAGUUCCAUUAUUAAUGCAGAAAGGAUGGUAAAUUGAAAUUUCAACUGAUCUACAUACACCUAGCACUAAAAUGUCUAUGAGCAGACCUCCAGAGGGGGCAUCACAAUUGUGUGAAAACUAUGUCUGGGCAUUAAUUUAUACAGUUGCAACCAAGUGAUGACAUACAGGUUAGUGCCAUUGCCAGAGAUUUUAUUAUUUCCAUAAAUCCCAGAGAUUUAUUUGUUCAUUUCCUGAAGGAAGAGGGCCUGCCAUUCCAUAGAGGGCCACAUGCCAAGAGGAACAUCAAUUUAUUCACAAGGCAGAAACAGGUAUGAGGGAGAAAGCCUAGGCAUAACACCUUUUGUUUUUUUCUGGAAAGUUUAAGAAAGGUCAGAAAGCUUAGGCUCAUAAGUGCUCCUCAUAAUGCCAGUGAGCUUCACAGUGAGUGUCGUGUGUUGUCUUUCACGUAGCCCUGGAUGACUUAGAGGAGGCCAAAUACUUGGUGUAUGGAAGUUUGAUAAGGGGAUAGGUGGGUUGUCAGCUGUGGAUUAGUGAAUUUCCAUUGAAUGUUGUAGAAGUGCUGCCAAAUAAGCCAUUUGCUGUCUUGACAAGUAGCUAGCCUUCCUCUUCAGGCAGAAAUGCCCCCCAAGUUGUUAAAACAUUACAAGAAGCAGUGCAUUAGCAAGACAUUACAAAGAGUUGCUGACUUUUUCAUGAUUUUUUUGUGAUCCCUCUGCCAAAUCAGAGAUUGAAAAAAAGAGGUAGAAUGUAUUUAGAAAGGAAAUGUACAACAGAAUGAGAACUCCCUCAAGCCUGUUCACAGUCUGUCCUUUGAGGACAGUGAGUACAGACUACAAAUUCUCUACGAGUAUGUUCUCUGCAUAUCAAGCUGGUACCUGAUUCACGUUUGAGAAGUGAGCCAUCAAGAAGGACCAUAAAUAAUAGAAAUCAAAAGCCUUCCCUACCCCCAAAAGACAAAACAAUGACAAAAGAAAACCAAAACUCCAGACAGUUAACAUGGCUGAAAAACACUGAGUAGAAGAGCUUCAAGCAUCUACCAGUCAUUGGGAGCCUGCAAAUAUUUAAGAAAUUAACUUAAGAGAUUGAUUACUUACUGAGAUAAGACCUUUAUUGUUCCCUUAAAUCUUCUUUACUUACUGCAUCUUAAAAAUUUCAAAAACAAAGUAAAACAAAACCCUCAAAGGCUAACAAGCUCAGCAGGGUAAACAAUGAGGGAAGAAACCACUUCUCUCAAUUCUACUGUAAAUCAGAUUUCGUCCCUGGUGAAGGUUAGGGCAUUGAUAGCAGAGGGUCUGAGGCAGAUCUGGGCUUCAUACUGAUUCUGUUGUUUCUGUGUUAUUUUGUAAAAAUAAGUUUUCUCUUUAAACCUAGUGUCAGGUUUAGAAGGCACUCAGAAUGAUUUCUUGUUCCAAUUACCAACUUAAAGUCAUGUAGGUUCUAUUCACAAAAGAAAGGCUUGGUAGAAUCAGGCUGGCUGGAAAAAAAGUCAAAGGAUUUAGGAAUGGAGGAAAUUCUGAUUUAAAAUGUGGGAAGAAAAUAAUAUGGCAUUCACAUCAUAUGGAAAGUUCAAUUUUCUGCAUCCAUACGGACAAAACAGAAACAAUAAAAAAUAUUUCAGUGUUAUAUCAUGAUUUGUACCCUUGUAAUCUU